GACGAACGCUGGCGGCGUGCUUAACACAUGCAAGUCGAACGGAAAGGCCCUGCUUGCCGGGUACUCGAGUGGCGAACGGGUGAGUAACACGUGGGUGAUCUGCCCUGCACUUCGGGAUAGGCUUGGUAAACUGGGUCUAAUACCGGAUAGGAGCCAUCUUUAGUGUGGUGGUUGGAAAGUUUUUUCGGUGUAGGAUGAGCUCGCGGCCUAUCAGCUUGUUGGUGGGGUAAUGGCCUACCAAGGCGGCGGCGGGUAGCCGGCCUGGGGGGGUGUACGGCCACCUUGGGACCGAGAGACGGCCCAGGCACCGACGGGAGGGAGCAGGGGGGAAUAUUGCACAAUGGGCGCCAGCCUGAUGAAGCGACGCCGCGUGGGGGAUGAAGGCCUUCGGGUUGGAAACCCCUUUCGCUAGGGACGAAGCUUUUUUGUGACGGUACCUAGAUAAGAAGCACCGGCUAACUACGU
rnacentral:rRNA from 1 species